CCUACGGGGGGCUGCAGUGGGGAAUAUUGCGCAAUGGGGGAAACCCUGACGCAGCAACGCCGCGUGAGCGAUGAAGGCCUUCGGGUCGUAAAGCUCUGUCUUUAGGGACGAUAAUGACGGUACCUAAGGAGGAAGCCACGGCUAACUACGUGCCAGCAGCCGCGGUAAUACGUAGGUGGCGAGCGUUGUCCGGAAUUACUGGGCGUAAAGGAUGCGUAGGCGGAAUCUUAAGUCAGAUGUGAAAUCCCCGGGCUCAACCCGGGAAUAGCAGUUGAAACUGGGGUUCUAGAGUGCAGGAGAGGAAAGCGGAAUUCCUAGUGUAGCGGUGAAAUGCGUAGAUAUUAGGAAGAACACCAGUGUCGAAGGCGGCUUUCUGGACUGUAACUGACGCUGAGGCAUGAAAGCGUGGGGAGCAAACAGGAUUAGAUACCCCAGUAGUC
rnacentral:rRNA from 1 species